GACGAACGCUGGCGGCGUGCCUAAUACAUGCAAGUCGAACGCUUCUUUCCUCCCGAGUGCUUGCACUCAAUUGGAAAGAGGAGUGGCGGACGGGUGAGUAACACGUGGGUAACCUACCCAUCAGAGGGGGAUAACACUUGGAAACAGGUGCUAAUACCGCAUAACAGUUUAUGCCGCAUGGCAUAAGAGUGAAAGGCGCUUUCGGGUGUCGUUGAUGGAUGGACCCGCGGUGCAUUAGCUAGUUGAUGAGGUAACGGCUCACCAAGGCCACGAUGCAUAGCCGACCUGAGAGGGUGAUCGGCCACACUGGGACUGAGACACGGCCCAGACUCCUACGGGAGGCAGCAGUAGGGAAUCUUCGGCAAAGGACGAAAGUCUGACCGAGCAACGCCGCGUGAGUGAAGAAGGUUUUCGGAUCGUAAAACUCUGUUGUUAGAGAAGAACAAGGACGUUAGUAACUGAACGUCCCCUGACGGUAUCUAACCAGAAAGCCACGGCUAACUACGUG
rnacentral:rRNA from 1 species